AAGGCUAUACUUUCAGGGAUCAUUUCUACAGUUGGUGACUAGAGAAGUUUCUCCGAUCAUGUAGAGUACUAAAAUCAUGCUGUUUGAUGGAGAGGAAGGAGUUAAGGUGGU
rnacentral:snoRNA from 1 species